rnacentral:tRNA from 1 species
GGGCGAUUAGCUCAGUUGGUUAGAGCGCAGCACUGAUAAUGCUGAGGUCCCAGGUUCAAAUCCUGGAUCGCCCA